rnacentral:rRNA from 1 species
UACGUAGGGGGCAAGCGUUGUCCGGAUUUAUUGGGCGUAAAGAGCGUGUAGGCGGCUACACAGGUCCGCUGUGAAAACUCGAGGCUCAACCUCGAGACGUCGGUGGAAACCGUAUGGCUAGAGUCCGGAAGAGGAGAGUGGAAUUCCUGGUGUAGCGGUGAAAUGCGCAGAUAUCAGGAAGAACACCCGUGGCGAAGGCGGCUCUCUGGGACGGUACUGACGCUGAGACGCGAAAGCGUGGGGAGCGAACAGG